rnacentral:rRNA from 1 species
UAGCCUUACGAUAACGCCGGUUCUCGUAUGAUCACCGAAGUUAAGCAACUGCGAGCCUGGUCAGUACUUAGAUGGGUGACCGUUUGGGAAUACCAGUUGCUGCAUU